UUACAUCCACUAUUUAAGUUCAUAUAAGCACAGGCGCUUAAUAAACGAUUAUUCAUCAACUUUGACUUUUCCCUUAUCUUUCCCGGACGUACUAGCGUUCUCGGUUUUAACUGAAAACAUUAUAUCCAACGCAAAGGUGAGCAAAAACUUGCUCAGCAAGGAAAUAAGCAGUUGAAUAUAAUGAAACAGAAAUAUUAUAAAAAUGAGGAUUCAAAUCAAUAGAUACCGAACAAGACAGUUCUUUAAAAGUUUUGAGUCUAAAAAUCAGGCUUUAGCAUGCUGUAAGGUCAAAUGACCAGUGAACUCAGUACUUGAAUUGACAGUACUAACACUGCAAUCCAUGGAUACAAACAGUUAUUAAAACUGUUCUAUAUCCUAUACUUGUACUUUAGAGGAUCAACCUAAGUACCCUAUAUUGUGCACAACAUAACAGUCUAAUGACACAUUAUAUGUCCUUCGGAAUCAUAUGUCCGGUACAAUAUGCCCCUAUAAAAGGGUUGUUCAUUCACAACAUUAUAUAUGAGUUUGCACUACAACAAAAUGGUUUGGAAAACAUUGAAUGAGAUUUUCAUGAAUGAAUAAUAUAUCUCAACAGUUAUCUAGCCGAAAUAAUGGCAUUUAUAAAACUAACUGAAUUUGAAGCAUUUACGGUAUAAGUAAGUUGAAUAAUUCGAAAAGAUAGCUUUUACGUUAAAUACUACAAUAUAAACUUAUUUAAGAAAGAAAAGCUCAAUAUACUUGAUAACAUCCUAACUAUCCUUUUGAAGCUGAUUGGAAUAAAAAUGUUAUUUGACCUUGUAUUAUUCAUAAAUAAUGAGAGACCAUUCAGAAUUUAGAGAACCUGUCCAUAUAUGAAUAAUUCUAGAAUACUUGCUCAAUAAAGAGUAAGAGUUAGAAACUUGCCUGGUUUGUGGACUAUUGAUAAGUUUCAGCUUAUUGUGUUCUCACAGAGCCUACACAAAUUUAUUUACAUUUACAAGCAUAUUAGCCAAAUAGUCAAGUCAUAUAGCUUGUGUAUUAACAUAUUACAUAGCCACAUUGAUCGUGUUCUUAGUUUAUGUUAUUAUUUUCAAGAUAUUUAUAUACAUUUUUCAAAUACCUCAUCCAUGUUCUUACCAUAACCAUUUUCUUCUUUAAUAGGGUUUGACAUAAACUCAGCUCAUGAAUCUCAUACACUUUUAGUUCAUGUUCCUUUUGUAUCUCUCUAUACAAAUAUCUUGUAAUUUCCUUCAUAACUUAAGUAUUCAAGGCGAAUACAUAAGAUAUUUCAUGACUUAGUUAUGAUUGUAUAUUAUAGGAAUAGAAUCAUAGUUUCCAAUCUACUUGGUAACUCAUAUUGACAAACUAUUUAUUCAACUUAAUUUACUUCUGAGUUAUGUCAAAAUAGCCCUCUUGUAGUAUUAGUAACUCUAACAUUUCAAACUUGGCUUAGCAGUUCCAAUUAAUUUAGAAGUUUAAUUAUGACAACCGCUAUCUUAUAGAUUACAAACUCAUUUAUAGUAAAUUAUAUGUCUUGGAUGUAACUAAAUCUUGUUUGGUUAUUCUAUAGGUCCCAUAAUCACUUAUAGUUUCCUUUUAAUGCAUUAUUGUGUUAAAUAUACCUGUUUUCCAUCAUAAUACUAAAACAACCCCUUUUUGACAAAGUGUAUCUAGCAGCCCUUCUUGUUGCUCUAAUAGUUCCCUAACAUGGAUUGGUUUGGUUUAGUAGUUCUUUGAUGACUUUUCAUGCCAGCAACCAAGUUUGGCUUGGCCCCGUGAGGCUUAGCUAAGCUUGGUGUGGCCAUGUUUGGCCUCGUAGCCCCAACCCCAACAGUCCACAAUCUUUUAGCUUCUUAUUCCAUAUGUUCGUUUAUUUAGGAGUUAGAAUUUAAGCUUUAUGGGUAAACUAGAAAAUUGAACCAUGAUAUCAACUAGCAUGCCCAAAUAGUCAUUACAGUUGGUCUUAGGUGACUGCUACUAUAACGUCUGAGAAAAAUCGGAUUUUUAUGAGAAUUAAAUUUUAAUUUGAUUGUAUAUAUUAAAUGAAUUUAAUUGAUUAUUUAUGUGAGUAAGCUAUGUGAAGGUCGUUCUAUGACCUAGAAUAUGCGAAUGUGGUUAGGAUUUUGGCCACAUGAUAGAAUUAAAGUGUUUGAAUUUCCAAGAUUAAAAUAAAAGUUUUCUGAGGAAUUUUUGUAAAAAUACUAUUCACAGAUUUCUGCUCGGGAAUUAUUUUUGAACUUCUGAAAAAUGCAUAAUGAUAGAAUUCUAAGACGAGAUGGAAUAUCCAAUAAUAUUUUAGUUAUGGCAAACGAAGUUUUCGCUUGCAGACUUAAAACCUAACGGUUAGGGAAAGUGAUUUUCGAGAAGAAAUUGGAAUGCAUAUAAUGAAUUAAAGUGAUGAUCGUAUAAUACUUGGGUAUUUGUAACAUCCCCGAAUCCGGGUCCCAAAUCGUCACGGAUCCGGUAUACUAUUUCUAUCACUAUUGCGGAAGAUAUAAACAUAAAUUGUUUAUACAUUAAACUUUACACAUCAUUCCCAAGGUCUACAACCUUAACUUAAUACAUACCUUCAAUAUCUUAGAAGAUUUACAAUACUAUUUUCAUCAGAAAAUUUAAUAAAUUUUACUACAACAUAAAGAAACUUUGCACUUUGUCUUUGCCUCUGCCUUAUUCAAGCCUUCAUCUUAAUCUGAAAAUUUUAUCAUGAUAUAGCAAGGGUGAGCAACAAAUUUGCCCAGCAAGUUUUACAUACAAAGGAGAUAUAUCAUGAUUGAAAAGAAUGGAUAAGCUUUCAAGUUUUCAACAAUAUAAUAAUUGAGAAAUAACAUUAAUUAAUUUUUCAACGAUUGAAUGACUGAACCAAUAAUAAUGGAUGUCAACAAUUAACAUGAACAAGUUUAACUGAAACAUAUGGUAAUGAAGGUGAUCAGCCUUUCAUACCUGAUGAACAUAUACAACAUGCACAAUGUGCGAAUCAAUAAUUUAUUGACGUGGUAAAAUCAACAAUGAUUAACCACUAACAUGCUUUAAAUUAACAACUCAAGUUGAGUUAGGAAACUUGCACAAUAAUUAGAAGUUCAAAUUUAGAAACUUGCCUGUACCGUUGAUUACCGCUAAACAAUCAAUUUAAUCUCUUAUAAAAGACCUAUCAUUAAUAAGAUCGAUCCUCCAAUUAGCAUAAUACAUUUUAUCCCACAACACUAUUACUCAAAUAAUAAAUUAGCUAACAUUUAGCCACAUAAUUAAACAUUGCAUAAUUCUUUAACUCAUUAGUAAUAUUAUUAUCUCUUAAUAAUAUUACUAUCACUUAACCAUUAUCUUAAACUUUUGUCUAAUACUUUUAAUCAGUUAAUAGAAUAUUUAUCAUUCACAAAUAUUAUUAAUAACUUAAUAAUAUUUAAAUCCUUUACUAAUAUUAUUAUUCAUUUAAUAAUAUUGUAAUCACCUUCUAAUAUUAUUAAUCAUGUAAUAAUAUUUUACUUGUUUCAUAAAUAAUAAAGGUCUCACACAUUUUAAGAUGCAAAUAUUUUACACCUUGAAACUUAAACCAUUUAAAUUUCAUUUUAGAAAUAUCUUUUACCUCUACUCGCAAAUUCGGAGUUUAAACAGCUAAUGUAUAGCUUUUAUAGUAAAAAUCAAUUUACUAUAUUAUUUCUUCACUUUAAAUAACUUUUACUUCAGUUUGUCCGUUCAUGAGUCAACACUGACUAUUGCCUCAUAUAUAAACAUUUUAUCUCACUAGCACAUUCGCUUUAUUUUUCAUUUUACGAUUAUUCGCAUUUUUGCUUCGUUACGUAAAUCUCAGCUCAAAAACUUCAUUUUGAGCACCGAAAACCUCAAAAUAUCAUUUUUAUGAUUAAUACAAUAUUUCAAAGGUUUUACAUUCUUUGUUCCACCACAAAAUAAUUUUUAUAGGCAACUAUAUAUAUAUAUAUAUAUAUUUCUCGCUUAAAUAUGUAAUUUAUAUUUAUUACAUAUUUUUAUUGCUUUAUUUAUGCCUGAAAGAAAGUUUCUCGGCAUAAAAUAUUACUUAUAGUCAAAUUUCGCACCAUAAGACUUUAUUAGAUUAUUAUGACUUAUUAUUUCUCUAUCAUAUGCCCAAACACAUAAUAUACUUCAUUGAAUAUCAAUUUCAACAAUUACAUUGAAAAAUAUCAUAAAUCUCUUAUUAAAUCUCCCGUCAAAUAUUAUUAAUUAUGCAAUAAUAUUUUACGCUAAGGUUAUCAACCUUUUAAUUACAUUCCAAUCAAAUACUACUAAUAAUAUCUCACUACAAUACUAUUAGUCAUAUAAAAAAAAAUCUUAAGUCAUUAAUCACAUAAAUAAACAAUUAUUUCAAUUGUUUUCCUUUUUAAUAAAUAACUUGCUUAAGCAUUCUAAAAUGCUAUAAACAUUACAACACUUUAAACCCGACCCCAAGCUUCAUUACAAACUUGCAUAAGCCAUGCUCAAGGGUCUCACGCCAUAAAUCACAUUUUUCCUAUUUUUGGACAAUUUUGAUUUUCGAAAAUUUUACCCAGCCUCGCUAAAACGGCCAUAACUCUCGCGUUUUAAAACAUUUUUGAGCGAUUCUUGAGCCCACGCGAAGAUAACUUCCAGGGCUACAACUUUUGUCUCACGACAUUUUUCCAAAAUCAUAACACAUCAGUCCAGAAAUUUACACAAAGGUGGCUGUUCGGAAUUUGAUUAACAGUUUUGAUACACAUCUCCCGAACGCCAUAACUACCUCAUCCGGAAUCGGAAUUAGUCCGUUCCGGAGUCUAUGGAAAGCUAAAUCAGAGUACUACAACAUACCAAAAGCCCAGAAUUUUUAAAGCACAAAAACUGGACGAAAUUGCCCUCGCUACUGACUGCCCCGAAUCUGCCCAUUUUUGGUUAUAAAAACGGAACUGUUUUCACCAAAUCAGUCACUACCCCAUGUAAACUCAACAUUUUUGAGUACUACCACUUGGGUUAACUACUAAACACAUAUAUCUAACAUCCCUUUUUGACGGAUCGCAAAAAGAAGUCAUAGAUUUAAAACGGUGAAAUUUCAAAGUAUAUAGAAAUUUUGAGUUUCUAAACUAGAAAAAAUUUAUUUUUCUCUUCUUUUGGUUUCAAACCAAAUCAACACCCAAAAUAGCUAAAUCCAUACAUGAAUCUAUAUAAAUCACAUAUAUCUUAGGGUUUUAACUCCCAAAUAAAAAAAAAACCCAAAUCAUCAAUUUCAUAAAAUAAAGGAAUAAAGCUUAGAGAGAGAAAUUUUUUUUACCUUCUUCUUCUUCUUCUCUUCCAUCUUCAAUGGAGAUCCUCUUCUCUCCUACCCAUAUAAGGGGCUGCCGAAGCCUCUCUUUCUUCUUUCCAUCCAUGGCUUCGGCCUCUUCUCCUCUCUCUCUCUCACGGUUUUUUGCCGUUCUUCUCUUUCUCUCUUUUCUUUUUUUCUUUCUUGCUCUUUUUCUUUCUACUUUUUCUUAUAUUUUCUUUUCUUCCUU
rnacentral:lncRNA from 1 species